rnacentral:rRNA from 1 species
AUGGGGCUAGUUGUUCUCCACAAGUUUGUGAGGACAGUGGUGCCACUUAGGUUUGUCAAAUGGCUAGCAUCCAAAUUUGAUGUUCGUGCUUCAGUGAUUCAGAUUAGGAAAACGUUUAUUCCGAUUUGCGAAUAUGUCACCCAUGAUAUAUUAGGUCUUCCUGUUGACGGUGAGCCUAUUGUGUCCGAUGAUGCUGGCUGUGAGUUUAUCUUGUCUCAUUUCAAUGUGACUAGCAUCCCACCAGUUUCAUUCUUCUGCAAUAAACUAAAAUCCACCUCUGAAGAAUUGCCCGAGGAAGACAUUUUCAUCUGCUUCAUGUGCAUUGCCUUGUCCACCUUCUUGUGUCCAAAUCCAAUAUUAGUACUCUGUAAUUCUGGAGUUUUUAUUGUAAUCCAUGAUGGUUUUCAGUGUAACUAUUAG